rnacentral:rRNA from 1 species
CGGUAAUACGUAGGGUGCAAGCGUUAAUCGGAAUUACUGGGCGUAAAGCGUGCGCAGGCUUGGUUGUAAGUCUGAUACAGGGCUUUCGGGCUCAACCUGGGAAUUGCAUUGGAGACUGCAAGGCUAGAAUCUGGCAGAGGGGGGUAGAAUUCCACGUGUAGCAGUGAAAUGCGUGAGAGUGUGGAGGAACACCGAUGGCGAAGGCAGCCCCCUGGGUCAAGAUUGACGCUCAUGCACGAAAGCGUGGGGAGCAAACAGGAUUAGAUACCCUGGUAGUCCACGCCCUAAACGAUGUCUACUAGUUGUCGGGUUUUAAUUAACUUGGUAACGCAGCUAACGCGUGAAGUAGACCGCCUGGGGAGUACGGUCGCAAGAUUAAA